GUGCUUUACUUUAGCAGCACUCAUACGAAAAUUGAAAGAGUACAGAGCAGAUUCACAUGGUCAUUGUACAAGGAUGGCAGGCAGGCAGAGUUGCAUGGUGUGGCCUCUU
ensembl:snRNA predicted gene, 22867